rnacentral:rRNA from 1 species
CCUACGGGAGGCAGCAGUGAGGAAUAUUGGUCAAUGGGCGCGAGCCUGACCCAGCCACGUAGCGUGAAGGAUGACUGCCCUACGGGUUGUAAACUUCUUUUAUAAAGGAAUAAAGUGAGUCACGUGUGCCUUUUUGCAUGUACUUUAUCAAUAAGGAUCGGCUAACUCCGUGCCAGCAGCCGCGGUAAUACGGUGGAUCCGAGCGUUAUCCGGAUGUAUUGGGUUUAAAGGGAGCGUAGGUGGGUUGUUAAGUCAGUUGUGAAAGUUUGCGGCUCAACCGGAGAAUUGCAAUUGAUACUGGCAGUCUUGAGUACAGUUGAGGUAGGCGGAAUUCGUGGUGUAGCGGUGAAAUGCUUAGAUAUCACGAAGAACUCCGAUGGCGAAGGCAGCUUACUAAACUGCCACUGACAUUGUUGCGCGAAAGUGUGGGUAGCAAACAGGAUUAGAUACCCUGGUAGUC